rnacentral:misc_RNA from 1 species
GAUGAAGAACGUAGCGAAAUGCGAUAAGUAAUGUGAAUUGCAGAAUUCAGUGAAUCAUCGAAUCUUUGAACACACAUUGCGCCCGCCAGUAUUCUGGCGGGCAUGCCUGUUCGAGCGUCAUUUCAACCAUCAAGCCCUGCUUGCGUUGGGGUCCUGCGGCUGCCCGCAGGCCCUGAAAACCAGUGGCGGGCUCGCUAGUCACACCGAGCGCAGUAAUACAUCUCGCUUUGGGCGUGCGGCGGGUUCUUGCCGUUAAACACCCCCUUUUUACCAAGGUUGACCUCGGAUCAGGUAGGAAUACCCGCUGAACUUAAGCAUAUCAAUAAGCGGAGGA